rnacentral:rRNA from 1 species
GAUGAACGCUGGCGGUAUGCUUAACACAUGCAAGUCGAACGGUCUUUUCGGAGAUAGUGGCGGACGGGUGAGUAACGCGUGAGAAUCUGGCUCUAGGUCUGGGACAACCACUGGAAACGGUGGCUAAUACCGGGUGUGCCGAAAGGUGAAAGGUUAACUGCCUGGAGAUGAGCUCGCGUCUGAUUAGCUAGUUGGUAGGGUAAGAGCUUACCAAGGCGACGAUCAGUAGCUGGUCUGAGAGGACGAUCAGCCACACUGGGACUGAGACAC